CUCUCCCCCCUCUAAUGGCGAUUGAAUCUAUCUGGGUUUUUCUUUCGCUAUCUCUUCCGGUUCUUGGAGUUUCUUGUGACUCCGCUACUCAUCUCUUAAUUUCGGUUUCUCCGUACUGAUUUCUACGUUUACCCACCUAGUGAAUCCAAGGCCAGAAACCCUAGUUUUUCUUCAUUUGCAUGCUUCUUCCUGAUUCCACGCGUGAAGGUGCGAUCAAGAGACAUACUUAGUCGAAGCCCACGUUAGUCCUCUUUUCUCUUCUUAUCAAAUCAAUCUCUCUCGCUCGCAAGCUUAUGACGAUGGUUGGUAUUGUUCCGAUGGAACUACAGAAUGGUAAAAACGGAGUACUUGAGGCCAAGGACACCACGGGGUGGAACCAUAUGUGAACCUGUGAACGAGAAGAUCCAGAAACGGUAAACCAGAAGAUCCAGAAACACUGACAGCACAAAUGCAGUUGAAGAAACAUUUGGUUGCAGAUUAUUACAGGGGACACUAGUUUCGCUUGUCAAUUGAACCGAGCAUGAUAAGACCUAUUAAUUGGGGGCACAAGACAAUCAUUUGCAUGCUUCUUGGCUCCAAGCAUCAAUUUAUGUAGAAAAGGUAUGUUGCACAUCAUACAAUUAAAAUCAGAAGAUUGAUGUCUUUGACAUUUCAACGUUCUCUUUGAAAAUAUGUGAUGUAUGACACAAUGUUGUCAGUUCAUUGAUACAAUCACUUCUAGGUUCUAGGUUAUUGCAAAUGGGGACACUGGUUUUGCUAGACAUGAUAAGACAGGUUUUCAUUUUCGAAUUUCUUGAUUCCAGGAGUGAACGUCCGACUCAGAGGAGAAGUAACGGUUAUGCAAAAAGCUUACAUCUUUCUUGAUUCUCCUUGAACUAACAAGCUUUAUAACAUUGUACGGAAACUCUGUACAGGUGCGAUCUAGAGGCAGAUGAAGACUCGAAGCCCACAUUUGUCACUAACUAUAUUCUUUUUUAUUCUUAUCAAAUAAAAAUCUCUCUCUCAUUCUAUGAUUGAUAAAGCAAUACGUUCCUAAGCCCACAUUUGGCAUUAUUUGCUUAUUUGCUCCAUCAGACGUAGUCUGUGCAAUAAACUUGAAGUGGCAAUUCUGGAAGACACCCCAGAGGCAGGUGAGGCGAUGAGGUGACAUUGUAGUCUACUUUAAGGACCUUUGUGGAAUGCUACUCAUGGUACGUUCUUCCUCCCAAUUGAUCAAAACUCUUAUAAUACCUUUCUUUGAUAAAGAGCACAACUUCUUACAGAAGUUACAACAAUGGCCAUAUGACACCACACAAUAAGAUUCCUUGAUCAAUUCUGAAACCCCAACGCCUUAAUCCAGCCUUAGGAUCAAAGUUGGUGUUAUAAUUUGUGGUGAUUUUGUGAUGUAGAUGCACAAAAUUCAUUUUCUUUCUUCAUCUAAAUUUAUCAUCGGAUUUUAUAGAAGGUCUUUUAGUUAACACGUUUUAUAAUGAAUGUGAUUGAAGUCUACAGGGGAAAUAUAUUGAUUAUAUGUAUUCUGUAUUAGCGUUUAAUAAGAACACCUCAGGAAUUUUUUAUGAUUCUUGUCCCUGAGGCAUGCAAAAAUCAUCCGACAUUAUCGAUCAGAUGUCUUGAGGUAUGUAUUUAGAUAUUGAACUUCAUAUUGCAGCUGACAUUAUUUUUCUGUUUUGUUCUUCCAAAAACUAUCUGAUUUUCAUAUGUUGGGUUUUCCACUUCUUGUCUUCUUGUCAGUUCAGUGUACUGGUUGGUUCAAAACCUUGGUGGUAGCUGUAAUUUCUAAUGCAAGAGUUCUUAGUCAUAUGUUUGAGUUAUCUCCCAUCGGUUUGUGUUUCUCUGAGAUUACGAAGGACAAAGGAUAAAUGGAGACUUUGGAUCGACCAACAUUACUUUUGUUCAAUUUCUUUGGGAGCAAGAGAGUCAUUUGUGUGCUUCUUAAUGGGUACGGAUGAACGCCCGACUCAUAAGAUAGCUAACGGUUAUGCAGAAAAGAUGUAUUUGGCUGACAUUCUCCAAGAUUACCGCAUUAAAAGGACCUUUAGAAUGUGAAUACCGCUACCAGUGCAAUCAAGCAGCUAUGCCUUUCUCUGGAAACACCUUGCUGGAGAGUGUUUCUUUUAUCAUCAACUGAUUUGUUUAGAAAAGCUUUAACAAAGCAACAUGUCUUUCAAGAUGCUGCAACACCAGAUCGAUCUUAUGGCGAAAGUGGGAUAAUUCUUGUGGCAAGUGCUGAUAUUUGAACUGUUGCUUGAGGAGUUACCAAACAAUUACUUGUGGCUGCCCUAGAAGUUUGUUCUUUUGCGAGCAUCUUCGUGUUUACGGAUACCACCAUGCUUUUUCUGGUAAACUGAGGAGAUCGAUGUUUUAUAGCCGAUCAAUGCGACACUACUUGGUUGGGCGUACAACAGAACCUCAUGAGGCAAUUGCUAUUGCAAUGGGUGGAAUUGGUGGAGAGGCAUACAUGAGUCGGGAAUCACUUGGAGAUGUGGUCGAAUGAUAGAACUAACAGAAAGGUGUGGAGAUUCUUGUCCCACAAAAAUCAAAUAUGCUGAGGUGCGAUCAAGAGACAUACUUAGCCGAAGCCCACGUUAGUCCUCUUUUCUGUUCUUAUCAAAUCAAUCUCUCUCUCUCAUGCUUAUGACGAUGGUUGGUAUUGUUCCGAUGGAACUACAGAAUGGUAAAAACGAAGUACUUGAGGCCAAGGACACCACGGGGUGGAACCAUAUGUGAACCUGUAAGUUCUUGAAAAGCAAAGAUUCAUACCUUGUAAGUGCUCUUCUCUGUUUGAAUUUCUGCUUGAUUAGGAAAAUUAUCUAUAUAUAUUAAUCUGUGAAAGAUGUCAGAUAUUGGAACUUUCUGGACUUUAGCGUGCCUCUGAAGCAAAAAACUAUCUGAAGUCUUAAUAUGUCCCGAAUCCUAAUGAGAACGUUGCUAAUCUCAUAUGAGAAAAAUCCAGAGGGCCUAUUCUAUUGGGAAUAAUGGAUAAACAGACUCGAAAAGAGAACUCUAUCUGUUCACAUGUCCCAAAACAUAAUGCAAAAAACUGCAUUCUCAAAUGAGAUGCAAAUACAGGGUUCUGUUGGGAAUAAUGACUAAACAGACCCUGGAGUGGGAACGCUAUCUGUUACAUGUCCCGAAACAUAACUAAAAAAACAUGCAUUCUCAAAUGAGAUGCAAAUACAGUGUUCUGUUGGGAAUUAUGGCUAAUCAGACCGAGUGGGAAUGCUAUCUAUUACAUGUCUGAAACAUAACUAAAAAAAAAAUCUGCAUUCUCAAAUGAGACAUAACUAAAAAAAUCUGCAUUCUCAAAUGAGAUGCAAAUACAGGGUUCUAUUGGGAAAAAUGGCUAAACAGACCCUGGAGUGGGAACACUAUCUGUUACAUGUCCCGAAACAUAACUAAAAAAACAUGCAUUCUCAAAUGAGAUGCAAAUACAGUGUUCUGUUGGGAAUUAUGGCUAAUCAGACCGAGUGGGAAUGCUAUCUAUUACAUGUCUGAAACAUAACUAAAAAAAAAAUCUGCAUUCUCAAAUGAGAUGCAAAUACAGAGUUCUGUUGGGAAUAAUGGCUAAACAGACCCUGGAAA